rnacentral:misc_RNA from 1 species
UCAAACUUGGUCAUUUAGAGGAAGUAAAAGUCGUAACAAGGUUUCCGUAGGUGAACCUGCGGAAGGAUCAUUACCGAGAAGCGUGGCCCCUGGCACGAUCUCACAACCACUGUGUACCAAACCUUCGUUGCCUCGGCGGGCCCGGCCAGCCCGCCGCAGGGACCCUCCAGACCGUUUCCGUAUGAUGAACGUCCGAUUGGAAUCGCAUGCAAACGCGAAUGAAAACAACUUUCAACAAUGGAUCUCUUGGCUCCGGCAUCGAUGAAGAACGCAGC